rnacentral:rRNA from 1 species
GUGGGGAAUAUUGGACAAUGGGCGAAAGCCUGAUCCAGCCAUGCCGCGUGUGUGAAGAAGGUCUUCGGAUUGUAAAGCACUUUAAGUUGGGAGGAAGGGCAGUAAGUUAAUACCUUGCUGUUUUGACGUUACCGACAGAAUAAGCACCGGCUAACUUCGUGCCAGCAGCCGCGGUAAUACGAAGGGUGCAAGCGUUAAUCGGAAUUACUGGGCGUAAAGCGCGCGUAGGUGGUUUUGUAAGUUGGAGGUGAAAUCCCCGGGCUCAACCUGGGAACUGCCUCCAAAACUGCAUGACUAGAGUACGGUAGAGGGUAGUGGAAUUUCCUGUGUAGCGGUGAAAUGCGUAGAUAUAGGAAGGAACACCAGUGGCGAAGGCGACUACCUGGACUGAUACUGACACUGAGGUGCGAAAGCGUGGGGAGCAAACAGGAUUAGAAACCCAGUAGUCC